ACCUGACAGAACUGUCGGCUGUCAUUUUGUUUAUUUUGUAAAGUGUUCGAUUUUUUUCAUUAAACUUCAAGAUGAGCACUCAACACGCUGCGCCUUGGUCCCCUUUAUAUGACGACCGUUACAAAGUGAGACUUUGAUGAGGCUCUUCCUAUUUCCUCUGAGUCAGAAUCUAUGAAUAGUGUCAAAAUUACACUUCUUCUUUUGCUUGUCACAAACUGGGUGAGGUCUUCUGAGUUUCAGGAACAGCUGUCUCUCAUACUUUCCUUACACUGGUUUUGUUUAUGCCAUAAAACAUUGCCAGAUUUUGGAAAUUCAGCUCUGAAAAGAAAAUAGAGGACUUUGACGAAGUACCGAAGUUAAUUUGAUAAACUGAGACCCUGCGUUGUAAAGAGACAUGGAGGCUGUUUUAGGACUGUUGGUGAUCUCAGCAGGAGUGUCUCAUGGCUUGGAGACUUCCUGUGAUGCUAGACAGAAUGUAUCUCAGUGUUAUGGAGCUCUGGGAGGAACUGUCUAUCUCCAGCUGGUGACUGAUGACAUGGGAUAUGAUGAACUCUCAUUUUAUAAAGACCCAACUGGUGCUAAAACAGAGAUACUCAGAUCGAAGAAGGGCAUAUGGGUAAUAAGAGACAACCGCAUUAAAGACAGAGUAGACUUCUUUAUAAACAAUGGGACAUUUAGGUUAAAUAACACAAGAAGUACAGAUUCUGGUGAAUAUCUGCUAGAAUACUUUAAUUCAGUAGGGAUAUCAUCAUGGACCAGAGGACUACAACUGUUCAUCGAAGCUCCAGUGUCCAGUCCUCAGCUGUCCUCUGAGUGUCUGUCCCAUGGAGAGAUGAAGGUGUCCUGUUCCUCUGAGGGGGAUGGUCCCCAGUACAGCUGGACUCUGGAUGGACAGACACUGAGAGACACUGAGACCUCUCCUGGUGAUGAGACAAACACCAUCACUCUGAAGAAAGGCCUGUCAGGAAAUCUCACCUGUACCAUCAGAAACAACAUCAGCAGUGAUACUGUCAGCAGGAUAAUCUCACACUGUCCAGGGCUGAUAUAUGUUAACUGCACCUUAUCCAACGGGACAAAAGUAUCAGAGUGGGUGAAUGCCACUGGUAAUACCCUGUGUGUUGAGUCUACAACAGUGGCGACUGUGACUGAGUCCCCCAUCAGUAAAACCUCCACUGGUAUGGAGGAGAAAUCCUGUGAUGCUAGAGAGCACAUGUCAUGUCACGGAGCUCUGGGAGAAACUGUCUAUCUUCAGCUGAUGAAUAAUGCCACAGGGUCUGAACUCGUAUUCAAAAAGGACCCCACUGGUGCAAAUAUAAGGAUAUUCAGCAUGAAAAACAACAGAGUGAGAUUCCAUGACCCCAUUAAACCUAGAUCAGAGUUCUUUAUCAACAACGGGACAUUUAGGAUAUCUAACACAGAAAAGACUGAUUCUGGUGAAUAUGUCUUAGAAAUCUAUGAUUCACAUGGAGCACGUUUGAGCACCGGAGGAGUACAACUUAUAAUUGGAGGAUCUGGGUUCAAUGUGUUUGUUUAUUUCCAACUUGCUGAAGUCUUCAUUCUGAUGGCAAUCUGUCUGGGAUCAUACUGUUUCUACAAGAAGAAAACCUGUCCUCAAGAACAAGUAAGCAGAGGAAUAUGAAGAAUCUCAGGUGGAUCAUGGUGGGACUCAGAGGAGGGUGUUGAUGUCCUAAGAGUUGCUGUGGGAAUCAACCAGGCUUUGAGAUUACCUUAUGAAAUAAUGACUAACGAUGAUAUAAUACUGCUUAUCACUCUUUUAAUCUUGAAACUCAAAGCACGGUAAUGUAUUUAAACCCCAAAAAUGCAAUUCUAUUCUUUGGACAUUUAUUUUCUUAAUUUCAUAAUGCUCCUUAAGACCUGCCCUUAACAACAUGACUAGUGAAUGAUCUAUGUGAUGAUGUUUAUUUCAUGGAUUUUAACUCUUGAGUUGUUGUGUUUUAGUGCUUUUUAUUUUGUUCAUACUGUUACAUAAACCAAUUAAAAAGUUGUUUUAAAAAAAUACAUUUUCUUUCAUAUUAUAAUGUUACCUUCUUAAGCACAAACAAAUUAUUAUUUUACCAAUAGCAUACAUGACUAAUUAAUUAGACUGUUAGCAUGUUGACAUCUGAAAGACUCCUCAUUGGCUUGAAGGGGGUCCCUCUAGGCUUUUCUAGUGUUAAGUAUCAUUUAAAAUGUUAAAGGAGUGUAGAUUACAGUGUAUUGAUUGCAUUGCAGGGUUGUGAUAUACAGUAACAGAAAUGUUUGAGAGUUGAAAUAAACUGGAAUAGAGAGAAAAUAUAAGUACCUUCUAUACUUGUGCUUUUCGAUUACCAAUUUCUAUGUUCUAUGUUUGUGCUUUUCUAUAAACCAAUUUCUGUGUUCAUGCAAGUGACUGAUUGAAUGAAUCCUCAGUAUCUGCAAUUUGGCAGUAUGCCCAGACCUUGUUUUGAGAACGAAUGAUAUCUCAGUUUCAAGGUCUCUGCUUAGAGAGAAGAAGCCUCGUGAGGUAUUAUUCUGUCACAUGUUAUGAACCAGUAUUGGUCGGUCACAUGAAUGAAACAAAUGGUAAUGAUGAAUUAAUUAUGCAAAUAUAACUUGUCUGUGUAUAGCCGUAUAUAAGACAACUGCUGGGACUGCCCCAGCACAGCUCCUGACAGACAUUUACUAUGGUGCAUUAUGUUUGUUGGAACCUCUCCAGCAUGCUGACAAUAGACAAUGAUUGAUUUAAGAUUGACUUUGUGUGCUCCUGCGUAAGAAUUUCCACGACAUAACCUUUUCAAGAAAGCACAAAGCCCUUUGCUCUUUCAUUGUAUUAAUUAAUUGACUUCUAAUACAUUUUUAUAUGGUAUUGGCUUUACAUUUCUUUUUUAUAUUCUGUUGCCAUAUAUGAAUUAGCAAUGGCAUUAAUACAUUUUCAAAGUAUACGGAAACAAAU
ensembl:lncRNA